rnacentral:rRNA from 1 species
GACGAACGCUGGCGGCGUGCUUAACACAUGCCAGUCGAACGGAAAGGCCCUGCUUUUGUGGGGUACUCGAGUGGCGAACGGGUGAGUAACACGUGAGUAAUCUGCCCUUGACUUUGGGAUAACUUCAGGAAACUGGGGCUAAUACCGGAUAGGAGCUCCUGCUGCAUGGUGGGGGUUGGAAAGUUUCGGCGGUUGGGGAUGGACUCGCGGCUUAUCAGCUUGUUGGUGGGGUAGUGGCUUACCAAGGCUUUGACGGGUAGCCGGCCUGAGAGGGUGACCGGCCACAUUGGGACUGAGAUACGGCCCAGACUCCUACGGGAGGCAGCAGUGGGGAAUAUUGCACAAUGGGCGAAAGCCUGAUGCAGCAACGCCGCGUGCGGGAUGACGGCCUUCGGGUUGUAAACCGCUUUCGCCUGUGACGAAGCGUGAGUGACGGUAAUGGGUAAAGAAGCACCGGCUAACUACGUG